rnacentral:sRNA from 2 species
GCAGCGCCUCCGCCGAAUCCGUUGCGGAGCGUAGAACUCCGCGGAGCCGGGGACCCAUGUCCCCCGGGGUGAAUCCGUGCCCACGGCACGGUAGGGCGACCUCUUACGCCCGAACCCGUCAGCUAACCCGGCAGGCGGCCUGAAGAGGAAGA